GCGUCCCUGCCACCCCAGGGCGGGGGCUGUGUGUCUGCUCACCCUGUGUGUCCCUCAGCCCAGCCACGGCAGCGUGGCCAGGUCCCUGUCUGCCACCCUGCCAUGGGUGAGGGCUCCUGGAGAGGCUGGACGGGGCUGGAUUUGUGUGAAGCUGCUUUGCUUUGGGGGAUGUGCCGGUUCCCUGUGCGCCAGAGAAGGGCUUGGGCUGUGCACUGGUAAAUGACAUCUAAAGUGUCUCCUCUUUGAAAUCAAGCUCAGUGGCACCUGAGCUGUAUUCCUGACCUGUAUCCCUGUAUCCAGCCAGGAGCAUGUUUAUAUAGAAGCUGGUCUGGCUCAUGUUUAUGUCACACAGAAAUGGAGGCUGAAUUACAGCACACGCUUCACAUCUUCAGGGAAAUCCAUUUUCUUACCAUAAGACCCCAGUAUUCCUUAGUUUCCCCAUGCUGGGACAAAUAGGGCUGUGGAGUCUACAACACUCCAAGGCAAAUUUAAUCUGACACCUGUGGACCUGGAGCUGCAGCAAUCCUGUAGGAAAGCCUCCCUUGGGAUCUAAGUGUGUGCUGCCAUUACAAAGGCUUGUCUGUGAAACCUAAUUUAAAAAAAAAAGGAAGGAAAAAAAGUGUGGAGAAAAAUCACCUUGAGGCUCAAGCCCAGCUCUUUGCAGUAUUCAAGGGUUUUUUUCUUUUUAAAUUUCUUUGGAACUUUCAGGAGUUUUGGAUUAACUCUGAUCACGUGCUGAGCUCUGAGCUGCAGAGCAAUCCCCAAAGUCCAGCCCUUGGUCGUGAUGUAACAACAGAAAACACGUGCUUCAGUUGCAAUGGCUUUGGGAUAUUUGCUCCUUGGAAUUAUGAAGCUGCGAACUUUCACUGUUAAAACAACCUUCUCAUCCUGCCCUCGUGCUCGGUGAGUCACAGGCUUUAGAGUCCUGAUUGCAUCUGAGACAGCUGCUCUGCAGGAAUGAUGAACCCGAGAUAAUCUGAUGAGUUUUGGCAUUUCACUGCUCACCUGAAGGGGAAUGUGGUUUUGCCGGUCUGCUCAGAUGGAUGAAAAAGUGUUAAAAUUCUCACAAGAAGUAUCUUGAAUCUUUUGAAUUUCACUCUAGUGGAUGAUGUUACUUUAGUGAGGAAACAUUUGUGGUUUUUCUUUUUCCCUUUGACUAAUUUUCUUUGUUUCCCAGGCAUAUUCUUCAUUCUGGUUUUUGUCGGUUUUUUGUUGUUUGGGGUUUUUUUUACCACUUGACUUUCUUCUUCUUGCUUCACAUGGGUGGACCUGAAGGCAGGCUGACUUUUAAGAUCUGAACUAUGAUUUUUGAGCUGGGUUUUUAGUCUUUGUUUUAGUUCUUUUUUUGUACUUGUAGUCUAGGAGUCUGUUUCAGGCAGGUUUAUCUCACAACUAUAUCCCAAAUAUUUACCUGCUAAAGGUUACAUGAACUAUAAAAAUGUGCAUUUACAACCUGUGUGCCCAUCCCCAAGAUGAAUCCAAGGCUUUUCAUAGAAAUUUAAUUAUUCCAGUUGUAUUGCACCUGGCUUUGAAGGAAAUUUUCUCUUGAGGUUAGUUUGCCAUGCAGAUGAAUUGGGCUGGGUUGGCACCAAAUGGUGUGGAAAAGUUUAUGCCAUUUUUUAUUUUUUAGCUUAUGAGCAUUUUUGACAGAGGUGAUUUUGUGGGGGUUUGAGUGCAGUGUGGUUUGUUUUCCUCUGUCCUCCAAGUCUGCUUCCAUGUGGCUUUUUUAAAAAAUUGAUGGAGGCAAUUCUAUUCAUCCUCUUUUAAUCUAAAUCCAAACAACAACACUUAAAU